rnacentral:rRNA from 1 species
CAGCAGCCACGGUAAUACGGAGGGAGCUAGCGUUGUUCGGAAUUACUGGGCGUAAAGCGCACGUAGGCGGCUUUGUAAGUUAGAGGUGAAAGCCUGGAGCUCAACUCCAGAAUUGCCUUUAAGACUGCAUCGCUUGAAUCCAGGAGAGGUGAGUGGAAUUCCGAGUGUAGAGGUGAAAUUCGUAGAUAUUCGGAAGAACACCAGUGGCGAAGGCGGCUCACUGGACUGGUAUUGACGCUGAGGUGCGAAAGCGUGGGGAGCAAACAGGAUUAGAUACCCCGGUAGUCCCUGUCUCUUAUAC